rnacentral:rRNA from 1 species
CCUACGGGUGGCAGCAGUGAGGAAUAUUGGUCAAUGGGCGGAAGCCUGAACCAGCCAAGUCGCGUGAGGGAUUAAGGCCCUGCGGGUCGUAAACCUCUUUUGCCGGGGAGCAGUGGUCCGGACGCGUCCGGACCGGGAGAGUACCCGGAGAAAAAGCAUCGGCUAACUCCGUGCCAGCAGCCGCGGUAAUACGGAGGAUGCGAGCGUUAUCCGGAUUUAUUGGGUUUAAAGGGUGCGUAGGCGGGCAUUUAAGCCGGCGGUCAAAUGUCGGGGCUCAACCCCGGCCUGCCGUCGGAACUGGGUGCCUUGAGUUGGAGAGAAGUAUGCGGAAUGCGCGGUGUAGAGGUGAAAUGCAUAGAUAUCGCGCAGAACUCCGAUUGCGAAGGCAGCAUGCCGGCUCCACACUGACGCUGAGGCACGAAAGCGUGGGUAUCGAACAGGAUUAGAUACCCCGGUAGUC